GCCAGUGUGGUAUAGUGGUCAGAGUGUUAGACUGCAACUCUGGAGAUCAAGAUUUGAUUCCUUGCUUGAGCA